rnacentral:lncRNA from 1 species
AAAAAAGAGUCGGCUGUGGCCCCAGAGAUGAGGCAGGAAGGUCUUCUGCACUCCUGUUGAAGAGGCAGGAGGUGGCCUGGGCUAAGAGUUAAGGAGUAAGUGCUGUGUGGUGGGGCCACAGAGAGGAGCAAGCUCCCGUCAGAUCAGCACUGUGAGCAGGUCAUGGAAGGGACUCCCAGUGGCCUCCCAGCACUCCCACAGAGGGAGGAGACCAGUUUGUACAGCCAACUGGACGAAGAUCUGCUACCUGGUUCCUGGAGGGUGCCCACUAAGGGACACAGGACAGGAAGCCCAGGAUAGGAAGCAACUUGGGGCGCGAAGGCCAGGGAGAAGCAGGCGCUCUGCAGUGGCCAGAAAGGUCCCGGCGAGGAGGUCAAGGUGCUUCCUGUUACGUGCGGGCAUUGCGUUCUGUCUCUGCCAAGCACUCUCUGACUAGUGCCCGAGCGUGGAUGAUGCCUGGGGUGCGGUGAGGAUGGGGAAGUAAUAAACAGGGCCCCAGAAACAGUCCACAGCCACCCUUCAGAGCAGACACUCCCCCACCGCUCCAUGGUUCAGCAAGAGCACCUCUAAUCUAAUGAGGAUGGAUGGGAUUAAGGGUUGGCUAAUCCGAGUUCCCAGGCACCUUCUUGGAAACAGACUCAUUUGAAAAUGGAAAAGUUCAUUUAAAACCCCUCCUUAGGUACACGUUCUGUUCCAAUCGAGGCUGGCCCAAAUGUCCUGUCCUGACUCUAGAUAUCCUCCAUCCUUACUGAACUGUCUUAAAGUUCAGUGUCUGUGUCCUGGGCAGAGCAAGGGCAGGCCUGUGGCUUCACUUACCUCUCUUCAGGCGCUCCAUGGCACUCUUGCUACCAGCAUAGGUGGGCCGGAUCUCUUUGCCCAUCUCCUCUAUGACAGACAGCAGGUCCGUGUAGGUGCUCUGAGAGCCCUGGGAACCAGGUGGCUUCAUCGCCUGUGUCAAAAGAAAAUACAGACGUGAUCUCAGACCCCGAGGGGAUCUCCUGUCCUCAGCCAUAAGCAAGCUCUUGGCCACACUCACCUGUACAUACCCCAUGGAGGGCGGACCAAAGUCGUUAAACAGCGGUCUGAAAGGUGCGGCAGCUCCUGGCACUGAGCCCGAUGGCGAUGGGACACUCCCGGCUGCAACGACACCAGCAAGAGGUCAGAGUGUGACAAGGGCCUCGUCACAGAUUUCCAAGCCCAGGACUGUUCCCUUGACUAACCUCCAACGGCAUGCUUCUUCAUUCCACUCUGAACAACUUCGGAGACACACUCCUCCCCCCUGCGCUCCACCUACAAGCUCUACGUGACCACGCCCACUUCUCAGGCCAGCAAACUGAGGCUGAGCCAGGCUCGUCUAGCAGGCCCCGGAUUGCAAAACUCGAGCGGUUUCUCUCCAAGACCUCGACUGCCCGGACAAGGCGAACAAGGAUGGAGUUGGAGCCUCACCUGGCGCAACCGCUGCCGAUUGGCCUCCACCUUCCGGACCUCGCACCUGUCUGCCCCGGAUUGGGCGGUGACAGUCGUCCUCCUCAAUUGGCGAGUUCGGGGCCCGGGGCCGGCGCGCUUUCAAUCCGAUUAGUCCCGAGGUCCAAGAGGCGGGGCCUCGGCAGCGGGCCAGUCUGGUCCCCGCGGUUUGCUCCGGUGGUGUGUGGCGGGCCGCCGAACACACUUCGUCCUCACCGCUUCGCGACUUCCCUCCGCUCAGAACUCCCAAGGCCACGGCUCCCACAGUG